UUUUUAUGAUGAACUUAUUCUUUGGUCCGUGUUUAUGACGGGAAGUAAGACCCCCGGUAUGAGUGACAAAAGAGAUGUGAUUGA
rnacentral:snoRNA from 1 species